GCGAAAGUGGCGGAAUUGGCAGACGCGCUGGACUUAGGAUCCAGUAGGUAACCCUGUGGGGGUUCAACUCCCCCCUUUCGCA
rnacentral:tRNA from 1 species